CGAAUCUCUCUCUCUAUCUCUCUAGUAUCGUGACCUUGUAGAAGCUGAAGCUUGAGGGAUUGGAUGCAGAGAAACGCGAGAGAUGGAGGAGCUUUCGACAUUCUCGAUUGCUUAUCGCUACUCAAACUCCAAUUCUCCCGUUGCAGCUGCUCUCGCUCUUUGUUCGAAAGGCCAAGGAAGAAGGAUUGUAAAAGUAACUAGAAUUCUCUCUGGUUGUUAUGGGCUCUUUUCAUAAUGGGCCGAUUAGUAUAGCUCAGGUUACUGUAAUAAUUGGGUUUUCUCUGGGGUCAAUUAUAUCACUUGUAACAAAACACAAAUACUAAAAUAUAUUUAUACAGACAAUAGUAUUUUACAAUCUUUUUUUUUGAUACAAAUACAGAGUUCAAAAAUAUUUUAAUGAAAUUUUUUUUAUAUUUUUUCGGAAUGUAAAUUACUUUAUAUAAAAACAAAUAUUUAAAAUAUUCUCUUCGAACAAUUAAUGUUAAAUUAAUUAUUAACUAAAUCAAUACAUCUUCAAAAAUCAUUAACUGUUCAAAAAUUGUCAAUUUUAUUUCCAAAAUACCUUACAUAAAUUGUCGAUUUUAUUUUCAAAUAACUUUCAAAAAACAAAAUUUAUGUAUAAUAAGACAUAAUAAUCAUGAAAACCAUUAACACUUUAAAAAAAAAAAAUCCAACAAGACAAGUCAGCAGAUAAGAGCUAAACGAAUAGCAAAUAAGGCCACAACACAUCAUCAGACCGUGACUAAUUGAAAAUAAAAAAAAAAGAAAUAUUUUCAAAAAAGGGAAGGAGACAGACACUGGGACGACCUUUGAAAAAAGCUUUUCCAUCAAUCAAUCAAUCAAUCAUCUCUGAGUCUGAGGAAGAAAGAAAUGAGGCAUAAUUGCUGCCAUCUUUCGUUCGCUUCAACACUCAAGAUCCUCAAUUUCGUCCAAGCUUUCUUCGGUGUUUCCAUCAUCAUCUACUCCAUAUGGAUGCUCGAUCAGUACCACCGUCACGUCCCCGUCAAGCUUUCUUCGGUGUUUUCAACCUCUUUGGACAUUUCUACAGGAACGAGUCUUCUCAUAGAUAAAGCUGUCCCCUUGCCUUUCCUUAAGGGCUCACUGGAUCUGCAUUUCCUAUAUGAAAAACUUUUGAGUAAAGCCCUGUUCGUUUGGUUGCCGCAGAUUAUUGUUCGUUUAGAAGACGCAAGAAGUUGAGAUCGACGCCGACGCUGCCGCAGGAAGCAGAUUUUUGGGUUGUUCGUUUGACAGACGCAGCGGCUAUUUUCAUUUUUUCAGAUUUAUUUUAAUUUUUUUAUAAAAUUGUAUUUAAAUAAAUCAAGUGUAGUUUAAAUAUAUUUACAUCCAUUAAAAUAUUAUGUUUACUUGAUAAUAAUUUUUUGGUCAAUUAUACAAAUGUAAAUUAUACAAAUGUAACAAUUUUUUUUCAUACAUCAUAAGCUAAAUUAGAAACAAAAUAAUAAUUCAAAAUAUUUAUCAUAAACAAAAGCUAAAUAUUACAUCAAGUCUUAAAUAAAUAUCACAUUUAAAUGACAAUCAAAGUUAUAAGCAAAAAAAAAAUUAAAUCAUCAACUAAAACAUUUAAUACGGUAAACGACCUCUACCAUAUUCAUUUGUGAUGUUAUCACGCAAAUCUUCCAUCGCUCUAUCACCUUGAGUUUGAGAGGGUCUGAGCUUGAGAGAGUGAGCUUGAGAAGAUCUGAGUCU